AAAAAGCCCGCUAUGCGUCGGCAUCAGCGGGCUUCGGUGCGGUACGACAUGCGACAGCGAUCGACUCGGGCCGGCUGCCGCCGGCCUUCGCUUUAGCUGUUUUGGGAAGUCGCCCCGCGUCCGCAAGCUGAAUCAAAUCGACGCAAGGCCACAUCCUAUCACGCUUCAUUCGAAGCGUGC
rnacentral:sRNA from 1 species